AUUGAACGCUGGCGGCAGGCCUAACACAUGCAAGUCGAACGAGUGGCGGACGGGUGAGUAAUGUCUGGGAAACUGCCUGAUGGCGGGGGAUAACUACUGGAAACGGUAGCUAAUACCGCAUACCAUCGGAUGUGCCCAGAGGGGCUUAGCUAGGAGGUGGGGUAAAGGCUCAUCUAGGCGACGAUCCCUAGCUGGUUUGAGAGGAUGACCAGCCACACUGGAACUGAGACCCGGACCAGACUCCAACGGGAGGCAGCAGUGGGGAAUAUUGCAAAAGGGGCGCAAGCCUGAUGCAGACAUGCCGCGUGGAUGAAGAAGGCCUUCGGGUUGUAAAGUACUUUCAGCUGGGAGGCGUUACCGGCAGAAGAAGCACCGGCUAACUCCGUGCCAGCAGCCGCGGUAAUAC
rnacentral:rRNA from 1 species